UGCACCAGCUGCAAGCUGUUAGUGAUGAUACUUGGCAUAUAAAGUGAACACAACCACGAAUCAACAUGGAGUGUGCAUACUGAAGUGAAAUGGAAUGCAGCUUGUUCUACUUCCAGAAGUAUGUAGCUGUCACUGAAGGUAACGAUACUGUGAGAAGACUGAUCGAUGAUGACGUAUGCAGCUAUCACUGAAGGUAACGAUACUGUGAGAAGACUGAUCGAUGAUGAAGUAUGUAGCUGUCACUGAAGGUAACGAUACUGUGAGAAGACUGAUCGAUGAUGAAGUAUGUAGCUAUCACUGAAGGACCAUGGCUGACCAACUGAAGAGAAGAAACAGAACAAGCCAGGCUACUUAUGUUUUGCAAAGUGACACAGAUUGGUUGCUAUUGUUACUUCAGAUUUGCAUGAUAAUCAUGCAGCUUGA